rnacentral:rRNA from 1 species
AGAGUUUGAUCAUGGCUCAGAAUGAACGCUGGCGGCAUGCCUAACACAUGCAAGUCGAACGAAGGCUUCGGCCUUAGUGGCGCACGGGUGCGUAACGCGUGGGAAUCUGCCCUCAGGUUCGGAAUAACAGCGAGAAAUUGCUGCUAAUACCGGAUGAUAUCGCGAGAUCAAAGAUUUAUCGCCUGAGGAUGAGCCCGCGUAGGAUUAGCUAGUUGGUGUGGUAAAGGCGCACCAAGGCGACGAUCCUUAGCUGGUCUGAGAGGAUGAUCAGCCACACUGGGACUGAGACACGGCCCAGACUCCUACGGGAGGCAGCAGUGGGGAAUAUUGGACAAUGGGCGAAAGCCUGAUCCAGCAAUGCCGCGUGAGUGAUGAAGGCCUUAGGGUUGUAAAGCUCUUUUACCCGGGAUGAUAAUGACAGUACCGGGAGAAUAAGCUCCGGCUAACUCCGUGCCAGCAGCCGCGGUAAUACGGAGGGAGCUAGCGUUAUUCGGAAUUACUGGGCGUAAAGCGCACGUAGGCGG